rnacentral:rRNA from 1 species
UACGGAGGGGGCUAGCGUUGUUCGGAAUUACUGGGCGUAAAGCGCACGUAGGCGGACUGUUAAGUCGGGGGUGAAAUCCUGGGGCUCAACCUCAGAAUUGCCUCCGAUACUGGCAGUCUCGAGUGCGGGAGAGGUGAGUGGAAUUCCCAGUGAUAGAGGUGAAAUUCGUAGAUAUUGGGAAGAACACCAGUGGCGAAGGCGGCUCACUGGCCCGGUAACUGACGCCUGAGGU